rnacentral:rRNA from 1 species
CCUACGUGUGGCAGCAGUGGGGAAUAUUGCGCAAUGGGCGAAAGCCUGACGCAGCGACGCCGCGUGAGGGAUGAAGGUCUUCGGAUCGUAAACCUCUGUCAGCAGGGAAGAACGGUCACUGUGCUAAUCAGCAGUGAAUUGACGGUACCUGCAAAGGAAGCACAGGCUAACUCCGUGCCAGCAGCCGCGGUAAUACGGAGGGUGCGAGCGUUAAUCGGAAUUACUGGGCGUAAAGCGCUCGUAGGCGGUAUGUCAAGUCAAGGGUGAAAUCCCCGCGCUCAACGUGGGAACUGCCUUUGAAACUGGCAAACUGGAGUGUGUGAGAGGAUAGUGGAAUUCCAGGAGUAGGAGUGAAAUCCGUAGAGAUCUGGAGGAACAGCAGUGGCGAAGGCGACUAUCUGGCACAUAACUGACGCUGAGGAGCGAAAGCGUGGGUAGCAAACAGGAUUAGAUACCCUGGUAGUC